UGUUUUUCAACAUAACACACCUUCUCACUUGGAGAAGGUUUUGAGAGAACUUAUUGCUGAGGGACAACCCAGAACACACAGGCCAUGGAAGAAGAUAAUUGUUAUAGUGGAGGGCAUAUACAGCAUGGAAGGGGAGCUAUGUCAGCUUCCAGAGAUUGUCGCCAUAUGCAAGAAAUACAAGGUAUAUGUUUACUUGGAUGAGGCACACAGCAUUGGAGCUGUUGGAAAA
rnacentral:misc_RNA from 1 species